rnacentral:rRNA from 1 species
UACGAAGGUGGCAAGCGUUGUUCGGAUUUACUGGGCGUACAGGGAGCGUAGGCGGUUGGGUAAGCCCUCCGUGAAAUCUCCGGGCCUAACCCGGAAAGUGCGGAGGGGACUGCUCGGCUAGAGGAUGGGAGAGGAGCGUGGAAUUCCCGGUGUAGCGGUGAAAUGCGUAGAGAUCGGGAGGAAGGCCGGUGGCGAAGGCGGCGCUCUGGAACAUUUCUGACGCUGAGGCUCGAAAGCGUGGGGAGCAAACAGG